rnacentral:rRNA from 1 species
CCUACGGGAGGCAGCAGUAAGGAAUAUUGGUCAAUGGGCGCAAGCCUGAACCAGCCAUGCCGCGUGCAGGAUGACGGCCCUCUGGGUUGUAAACUGCUUUUAUACGGGAAGAACAGCAUCUACGUGUAGGUGUUUGACGGUACUGUAAGAAUAAGGACCGGCUAACUUCGUGCCAGCAGCCGCGGUAAUACGAAGGGUCCAAGCGUUAUCCGGAUUUAUUGGGUUUAAAGGGUGCGUAGGCGGUCUUUUUAAGUCAGUGGUGAAAGCCUGAUGCUCAACAUCAGAACUGCCAUUGAUACUGAAGAGCUUGAGUACAGUUGAGGUUGGCGGAAUGUGUCAUGUAGCGGUGAAAUGCUUAGAUAUGACACAGAACACCGAUUGCGAAGGCAGCUAGCUAAGCUGUUACUGACGCUGAUGCACGAAAGCGUGGGGAGCAAACAGGAUUAGAUACCCUGGUAGUCCACGCCCUAAACGUUGAUAACUCGUUGUUAGCGAUAUACUGUUAGCGACCAGCGAAAGCAUUAAGUUAUCCAACCUGGGAAGUUAGGUUCGCGAAGAUUGAACUUCGAAGGAUUGACGGNGNGAGNGNGCGAGGCACGACGGAGGGAGAGG